rnacentral:rRNA from 1 species
GCUCAACCGGGGAGGGUCAUUGGAAACUGGGGAACUUGAGUGCAGAAGAGGAGAGUGGAAUUCCACGUGUAGCGGUGAAAUGCGUAGAGAUGUGGAGGAACACCAGUGGCGAAGGCGACUCUCUGGUCUGUAACUGACGCUGAGGCGCGAAAGCGUGGGGAGCGAACAGGAUUAGAUACCCUGGUAGUCCACGCCGUAAACGAUGAGUGCUAAGUGUUAGAGGGUUUCCGCCCUUUAGUGCUGCAGCAAACGCAUUAAGCACUCCGCCUGGGGAGUACGGUCGCAAGACUGAAACUCAAAGGAAUUGACGGGGGCCCGCACAAGCGGUGGAGCAUGUGGUUUAAUUCGAAGCAACGCGAAGAACCUUACCAGGUCUUGACAUCCUCUGGCAACCCUAGAGAUAGGGCUUCCCCUUCGGGGGCAGAGUGACAGGUGGUGCAUGGUUGUCGUCAGCUCGUGUCGUGAGAUGUUGGGUUAAGUCCCGCAACGAGCGCAACCCUUGAUCUUAGUUGCCAGCAUUCAGUUGGGCACUCUAAGGUGACUGCCUGUGACAAACCGGAGGAAGGUGGGGAUGACGUCAAAUCAUCAUGCCCCUUAUGACCUGUGCUACACACGUGCUACAAUGGCAGAACAAAG